rnacentral:rRNA from 1 species
UACAGAGGGGGCAAGCGUUGUUCGGAAUUACUGGGCGUAAAGGGCGCGUAGGCGGCCUUCUAAGUCGAACGUGAAAUCCCUGGGCUCAACCCAGGAACUGCGUCCGAGACUGGGAGGCUAGAAUCCGGGAGAGGGAUGUGGAAUUCCAGGUGUAGCGGUGAAAUGCGUAGAUAUCUGGAGGAACCCCAGAGGCGAAGGCGGCGCUCUGGCUCGCAACUGACGCUCAGACACGACAGCAUGGGGAGCGAACGGG